GUUACUUUUAUUUGUCUACAAGCAGAUAUUCUAAAAUUUUUAAAUGUUUUAGCAGUCAUACAGACUGUUAAGGAUGAACACCUUCCUCAUGUCAGCUGAAGACCGUAUCUCCUGUUUCUCUGGUGACAUUAGAAAGCUAACUAAAAUUACAGGAUCAUAUUGCUUAAGUUCUUCAAACUACUGUCAACGAG
rnacentral:lncRNA from 1 species